GCGGGAGUAGCUCAGUUGGUAGAGCACAACCUUGCCAAGGUUGGGGUCGCGGGUUCAAGUCUCGUCUCCCGCU
rnacentral:tRNA from 1 species